rnacentral:tRNA from 1 species
UCAAAAAUAUAUAAAAUAAUAUUAUACUGUAAACAUUAAAACAAAACAUUUAUAAA